GGCAUCCUUUGGCCGAGAAGUUGGUCAAACUUGGUCAUUUAGAGGAAGUAAAAGUCGUAACAAGGUUUCCGUAGGUGAACCUGCGGAAGGAUCAUUAGUGAUUGCCUUAAUUGGCUUAUAACUAUAUCCACUUACACCUGUGAACUGUUCUACUACUUGACGCAAGUCGAGUAUUUUUACAAACAAUGUGUAAUGAACGUCGUUUUAUUAUAACAAAAUAAAACUUUCAACAACGGAUCUCUUGGCUCUCGCAUCGAUGAAGAACGCAGCGAAUUGCGAUAAGUAAUGUGAAUUGCAGAAUUCAGUGAAUCAUCGAAUCUUUGAACGCAGCUUGCGCUCUCUGGUAUUCCGGAGAGCAUGCCUGUUUCAGUGUCAUGAAAUCUCAACCACUAGGGUUUCCUAAUGGAUUGGAUUUGGGCGUCUGCGAUCUCUGAUCGCUCGCCUUAAAAGAGUUAGCAAGUUUGACAUUAAUGUCUGGUGUAAUAAGUNUCACUGGGUCCAUUGUGUUGAAGCGUGCUUCUAAUCGUCCGCAAGGACAAUUACUUUGACUCUGGCCUGAAAUCAGGUAGGACUACCCGCUGAACUNAGCAUAUCAUCNGA
rnacentral:misc_RNA from 1 species